rnacentral:rRNA from 1 species
CANGCCAGUUUGNUGCCUGCAGGUUACUUUGGNAGGGCUCAGAGUUUGAUCAUCUUCAGGACGAAAAAAGGCGGCGUGCUUAACACAUGCAAGUCGAACGGUAAGGUCCUUCGGGGUACACGAGUGGCGAACGGGUGAGUAACACGUGAGUAACCUGCCCCGGACUCUGGGAUAAGCAUUCGAAAGGGUGUCUAAUACUGGAUAGGACUCCUGCCUGCAUGGGUGGGGGUGGAAAGAUUUUUUGGUUCGGGAUGGGCUCGCGGCCUAUCAGCUUGUUGGUGGGGUGAUGGCCUACCAAGGCGUCUACGGGUAGCCGGCCUGAGAGGGCGACCGGCCACACUGGGACUGAGAUACGGCCCAGACUCCUACGGGAGGCAGCAGUGGGGAAUAUUGCGCAAUGGGCGGAAGCCUGACGCAGCAACGCCGCGUGCGGGAUGACGGCCUUCGGGUUGUAAACCGCUUUCACCCAUGACGAAAAUUUUUUUGACGGUAGUGGGAGAAGAAGCACCGGCCAACUACGUGCCAGCAGCCGCGGUGAUACGUAGGGUGCGAGCGUUGUCCGGAAUUAUUGGGCGUAAAGAGCUUGUAGGCGGUUUGUCGCGUCGGAAGU